rnacentral:tRNA from 1 species
GGAGUUGUGGCUCAGAGGUAGAGCGCUCGCCUAGCAUGCCUGAAGCACUGGGUUCGAUUCUCAGCACCA